UGAAUUUCUGCAUGUGCUGACCAUUGUUGAAAUCCAAGAAGAGUAUGGAGGUGUAACAUUAAUGUAGAUUGAAAAGUGUCGUGGAGGAUGAGAGCCGUACCACUGUUCCCACAUGAAAGUGAUGUCAUUUCAUUUCAGAUGGUCUUUUGGCUUCACAUAAUUCACGAGCAUUAUGUAGGGAGAUGACCAGACAUCAUUCCAUAAAAAUCGUCCCAGGCUGUGUUUGCUCUUUGGUGCAUCAUCAUGUUUCUGAGGAUCCAGGAAAGAGUCAACAAAAUCUGUUGUACUUUCUUCACCUCCAACAUAAUAAGAAUAAAAAACAACAUCCAGACACAUUAAAGUGCUUGGUGGUCAAAUAUGAUUGUCGUAACAAUCUGGGCUUAUA